rnacentral:rRNA from 1 species
AUACGUACAAAUAUGCAGUCGACUGUUGCUUUAAGGUUAGCUCAUGCGCUGGGAAUAUUUUUCUAAUGUUUUAAUAUUUUUAUAAAUAUUUUUUCUAUUUUUGAAUUAUUUUUACUUAGUUUUUGAAUUUUCAUAAAUGAUAUUUGAAACAAAUAUUUUCUUAAUGAAUCCGCGGCCAGCGCCGGCAGACAUCAUGGGCGGCGCCCGUGCAUAAGCCUCGAUGUGCCUUCAUCUCCUCUGCUCCCCCCAAGGGUGGGCUGUCGUGUCAAGCGGGACUUGCUUCAGCCUUGCAAUAUCCAUAUGGGCAGCAGCGCACGACAUCUAUUACUGGGCGUUGCGGUUGGUACUGGGCGGGCAUCGACGGAGCAUUUGGACGCACGACGCUCUUCAUUAAUCAAGAAUGGAAGUUGGGGGCUCGAAGGAGAUCAGAUACCAUCCUAGUCUCAAUCAUAAACGAUGUCGACCAGGGAUCGGCGGAUGUUGCUUUUAGGACUCUACCGGCACCUUAUGAGAAAUCAAUGUUUUUGGGUUCUCGGGGGAGUAUGGUUGCAAGGCUGAAACUUAAAGAAAUUGACGGAAGAGCAUCACCAGGAGUGGAGCCUACGACUUAAUUUGACUCAACAUGUGGAAACUUACCAGGUCCAGACAUAGUAAGGAUUGACAGACUGAGAGCUCUUUCUUAAUUCUAUGGGUGGUGGUGCAUGACCGUUCUUAGUUGGUGGAGUGAUUUGUCUGGUUAAUUCCAUUAACGAAUGAGACCUCAGCCUGCUAAGAAGCUAUGUGGAGGUAUCCCUUCGCGGCCAGCUUCUUAGAGGGACUACGACCUUUUAAACCGCGGAAGUUUGAGGGAAUAACAGGUCUGUGAUGCCCUUAGAUGUUCUGCGCCACAUGCGCGCUACACUGAUGUAUUCAACAAGUUUAUAGCCUUGGCCGACAGGAACGGGUAAUCUAUGAAAUUUCAUUGUCAUGGGGUUAAACCAUUGCAAUUGUUGGUCUUCAACGAGGAAUUCCUAGUAAGCGCGAGUCAUCAGCUCGCGCUGACUACAUCCCCGUCCUUUGUACAGCCCAUUCGGGAAUAGCCCAGCCUUAGAAUCGGGUGGCUCCAUCGUUCGAAUUUUGUUGAAGGUUAUUUCAUUCUAAUAUUUAUAUUUUGGGGUUGUUACUUAUCUGUUUCAUUCUAGGCAAU